UACGUAGGGGGCAAGCGUUGUCCGGAAUCAUUGGGCGUAAAGAGCGUGUAGGCGGCCAGGUGGGUCUGCUGUGAAAACUCGAGGCUUAACCUCGAGCUGUCGGCGGAAACCAUCUGGCUAGAGUCCGGAAGAGGAGAAUGGAAUUCCCGGUGUAGCGGUGAAAUGCGCAGAUAUCAGGAGGAACACCGGUGGCGAAGGCGGUUCUCUGGGCAUGUCCUGACGCUGAGGAGCGAAAGUGUGGGGAGCAAACAGG
rnacentral:rRNA from 1 species